GCAUUGAUGGUUCAGUGGUAGAAUUCUUACCUUCCAUGCAGGAGAUCUGGGUUCAAUUCCCAGCCAACACA
rnacentral:tRNA from 1 species